GAAUUCAACUCCUACGGGAGGCAGCAGUGGGGAAUUUUGGACAGUGGGGGCAACCCUGAUCCAGCAAUGCCGCGUGAGUGAAGAAGGCCUUCGGGUUGUAAAGCUCUUUUGUCAGGGAAGAAACGGUCUGGGCUAAUAUCCUGGGCUAAUGACGGUACCUGAAGAAUAAGCACCGGCUAACUACGUGCCAGCAGCCGCGGUAAUACGUAGGGUGCAAGCGUUAAUCGGAAUUACUGGGCGUAAAGCGUGCGCAGGCGGUUGUGCAAGACAGAUGUGAAAUCCCCGGGCUUAACCUGGGAAUUGCAUUGGUGACUGCACGGCUAGAGUGUGUCAGAGGGGGGUAGAAUUCCACGUGUAGCAGUGAAAUGCGUAGAGAUGUGGAGGAAUACCGAUGGCGAAGGCAGCCCCCUGGGAUAACACUGACGCUCAUGCACGAAAGCGUGGGGAGCAAACAGGAUUAGAAACCCUAGUAGUCCAGGCGUU
rnacentral:rRNA from 1 species